GAUGAACGCUGGCGGCGUGCCUAAUACAUGCAAGUCGAGCGAACGGACGAGAAGCUUGCUUCUCUGAUGUUAGCGGCGGACGGGUGAGUAACACGUGGAUAACCUACCUAUAAGACUGGGAUAACUUCGGGAAACCGGAGCUAAUACCGGAUGAUAUUUUGAACCGCAUGGUUCAAAAGUGAAAGACGGUCUUGCUGUCACUUAUAGAUGGAUCCGCGCUGCAUUAGCUAGUUGGGAAGUUAACGGCUUACCAAGGCAACGAUGCAUAGCCGACCUCAGAGGGUGAUAGGCGACCCUGGAACUGAGACACGGUCAAGACUCCUAAGGGAGGCAGCAGUAGGGAAUCUUACGCAAUGGGCGAAAGCCUGACGGAGCAACGGCGCGUGAGUGAUGAAGGUCUUCGGAUCGUAAAACUCUGUUAUUAGGGAAGAACAUAUGUGUAAGUAACUGUGCACAUCUUGACGGUACCUAAUAAGAAAGCAACGGCUAACUACGUG
rnacentral:rRNA from 1 species